rnacentral:lncRNA from 1 species
UCCUAAACAUGAUGUCCAGCACACUGAUAGGAUGUGGGAGAUUCCUGUCCUUUCCACUCCUCAGUCUGCUCCAGCCCACCCACGUCGUACGUAGCCCUGGAUCCUUCAUGUCCAUGAAGAAGUUCCCAGAAAUCCACAGCAGCAUGCCUGCCAAGCUCUUGGGCAUCGUUCUCAAGGUCGUUGUUAUUGCGUGAGAGGCUGGGGCUGCCGCAUUGACUCAUUCUUUAUCAAAUCUGUGGAUGGGUCCCCGUGCUCUGAUGGGUGUAACCUGGAAUGAGCUAGAGGCAACCCUGGCUCCCUUAAGUUGUCCCUACCGUGGAACCAGGAGAGAAGCUGACACGCUGCGUGCUUUCAUUUCCUCCUUUCCUUCUGGUCACUGCAGCUUUCUUUACACAUCUGGAUCUGUUUCCCAGGUCUGUUUUCCGAGAUGGGCGAGCAGAGGACCAGAAGACUAGCCAAUGGCAGCAGAGUUUGGCUCCUUCCCACCCUGCACUGCCAAGAGCCUCCUGGGCUUCUCUCUAGAGUCAUCAGAUGAUAUCGUUUAGAUUGUCCUGAUAAGCGGAACCUUCUGGACAGAGGCUGGGGGCGAGGGAGGGCCAACUCAGGGAGAGGACUGCAGAGGAGGCAGAGGGUCCUGAGGGUCAAGUAUUGUAUCGAGAAGCCAAAUCCACCCACUUUCUUCAGCUCCAGAACUCCACUGUGUGCCUCAUCUCCUCCUGUGUGGCUUGAGACCUUGAUGGAGACAAGGUGGGGCUGGUACCCAGGCUUUACAAGGAGCCUUGUACACAUGGGCUCUGGCAGUGCCACGGCACAGGGGAUGGAGGGUUAUGUCAGGGCUCGGGGAUCUUCAGCCCUGUGCUCUGUCUCUUUGCUCUUAUGGCCCUAGGAAUCAGCUUUUCUGCUGGGGGAACUUCCAAGGACAUCUGCACAGGAAGGUCGACUCUGGAGCUUGCUUAGUAAUUCCAGGAACGUGGAUUUCCUUUUAAUUCAUAGAUAGAAGAAUCUAAGCCUUCAAGGAGUGAUUAUAAAGGUCAUAAAUGCAAUGUAACUCAAUGUGAAAUUCAAGCCAGGGCUUCUAUGCCUGUCUGAGACCCAGGACAUUUCUGUCUUCCAUUCCUUCCUUCACUAAAGAUACCUCUCCCGCCCCCACCCCAGUCUGUACUGAGAGUCACAAGUCAUAGGGUUUAGUCGCAGGGGACUGAGAGGAGGGAUAACUGUGAAAGACUGUGAGCCCUGGGCAAGUAUUCCCUUGGCAGAUAGACGAGGGAGGAGAACAAUGCGUGGUAGUGGCAGGACUUGAGCCGCCGUGGUGGUCCUGGGAUAUUGACAUGAUCCCUCGUGGUGGCAAUGGGUUAUCUAUACAAGCAGUCAUGGUGGCCCUGGGCUCUCAUAAAGCCUUCCAGAGGCUCUACCCCACUCUUGUGAGUGAAGAGGGGCUAUCUUACUUUCCCCUGUUCUUUCCCAUUGCUUACUGUAAUUGUUACUUAUAAAACUGAAAGAUUUAUUUAAUCAUGUGUAUAUAUGUGUAUGUGUGUGUAAGUAUAUGUGUAUGUAUGUAUGCAUGCAUGUAUGUAUUAGUUGUACUUCCCUUGCUGUGAUAAGACACCAAGACCAAGGCAACUUGCAGAACAAAGGGUUUAUUUGAACUUGUGGUUCCAGAGGGAUAGGAGUGCCCGGAAGCAAGCUGUCCGUGGCUGCCAGAGCAGCAAGCUGAGGGAGGGCUCACAUCUUGGAUUGAAAGCACUGAACAGAGAGAGCAAACUAGAAAUGGCAUGGGUCCUUAAACUCUAGAAGCCUGCCCCCAGUGAAGGCUUCUUCUAACAAGGCCACAUCUUCUAAAUCUCCCCAAAUAGUUCCACCAACUGGGGACCAUGUGCUCAAAUAGAUGAGACUAUGAGGAACAAUUUCAUUCAAACCACCACAGUUUGUGUUUUGGAGGUUAUGUGCACAGGGGUACAGGUGCCAAGGGAAGCCAGAGAGAACACGGGAUCUCCAGAAGUGGGAGUCACAGGUAGUUGUAAGCUACCCAAUGUGGGUGUUGAGAAUUGAACUUGAGUCCUUGAAAGAGCAGCCAACACUGAGCCACCUCUUCAGUUCCUUAUUACAUUUUUUUCCUUGCUUGAUGUAUACCUAAGCCUUGAGAUUGCCAAGUCUACAAUGGCAGGAAGCACACCAGUCCCAGCAGUGCCUGCCUACACAGUUCACUUAACUCAUACUUUAUUCCAAGCAGCCAAAGUGGGUGUCUCCUAAGUAACCCAGCUACAGAGUCUCCUGUGCAACUCAGGCUGGCCUCCAGCUUGUUAUCCUCCUCACUUCUGAUUCUCAAGUGCUGGGGACACAGGUAUGUACCAUCACACCUGGUCAGAGAUCGUGUGUGUGUGUGUCUAUCAAUCAAUCAUCUAUCAUAUCGUAUCAUAUCUAUCUAUCUGUCAUCUAUCUAUCUAUCUAUCUAUAUAUCGAUCGAUCUAUCUACCUAUCUACCUAUCACCUAUCUAUAUCUUUAUCUGUCUGUCUACCUGUCUAUCAUCUGUCUGUCUGUCUGUCAUUUAUCUAAUCUUGAUGAUCAGUUUGAAAAAUGAUAUAACCCAAAACAGCAGAUUGCUGUGGUAGUUAACACUGUCAACUAGAUGAGAUCCUUCUAGAAUCAACUAUUUGCGGUUACUUGGAUUAGGUGAGGAGCCUUUGCUAGCAGGCUGCUUGGUGAUCUGGGUUAGGUUAAAUGAGGUAGAAGACUCCUCUAAGGGAGGGUAGCACCAUUUCCCCACUUUGAGACCCGCACUUCAGGAAAUUGGGAAAGCUGUCUGGAUGUGGACAUUCAACUCUCUCUUCCUCCUGACUGGACACAGUGACCAGUUUCCCCAAGCUUCCCCACUCAGAACUUUCCCACCAGGAGGGACUGCUUCCCCUCCAACUGUGAGCUGAAAUAAACCCUUUGUCUCUU